rnacentral:rRNA from 1 species
AUUGAACGCUGGCGGCAGGCUUAACACAUGCAAGUCGAGCGGGGUGAUGGUGCUUGCACUAUCACUUAGCGGCGGACGGGUGAGUAAUGCUUAGGAAUCUGCCUAUUAGUGGGGGACGACAUCUCGAAAGGGAUGCUAAUACCGCAUACGUCUUACGGGAGAAAGCAGGGGAUCACUUGUGAUCUUGCGCUAAUAGAUGAGCCUAAGUCGGAUUAGCUAGUUGGUGGGGUAAAGGCCUACCAAGGCGACGAUCUGUAGCGGGUCUGAGAGGAUGAUCCGCCACACUGGGACUGAGACACGGCCCAGACUCCUACGGGAGGCAGCAGUGGGGAAUAUUGGACAAUGGGGGGAACCCUGAUCCAGCCAUGCCGCGUGUGUGAAGAAGGCCUUAUGGUUGUAAAGCACUUUAAGCGAGGAGGAGGCUCUUUUGGUUAAUACCCAAGAUGAGUGGACGUUACUCGCAGAAUAAGCACCGGCUAACUCUGUGCCAGCCGCCGCCGUAA